AUGGAGUGAUUCAAAAAGGGAAUUGAAGUUAAGACAUUACGGAAUGACUUUGAUGAAGAAAAGUUGGCCAAAUUUCCAUUGUAGAUUGGCCUAAUGGAACAAUAAACUUAGGUUACAAAAUCUGAAAUUCUUAAAACACUCUAAAAGGGACUUUCAACAACUUUAUAAUCCAAAAUGUGGUAUGAACAUGAAUUUGGAACCUGUGUUCCUAUUAUUUAUGGAAAAAUAAAGAAUUUAGUAUGAAUAGUAUUGUGAAUAGUAACAACAAUGAUACAACAUGCAAAGAACCAAUACCUAAGAUGCUAAUAUGCUCUUGUAUGCCUAAUUAUGAUUGGUUUUGGAUAGGUUGGCAUAUCAAUAGGGUUCUGAUUUGUAGUACUGCUUAUGGCUCCGUGCCAUUCUGUGAUUUAUGAAUUUUAUUGCCAUUUUGUGACUUAUGGCUUUUAGCCAUUCCGUUAUUCCUUGAUAUAUGUUGCUUUAUAACCGAUUGAUGUUAUGGCUUCUUAGCCAUUUUGUUGCGUACCUGGUAGAUACUAUGUGACCGAUAGUGUGACGGCCCGAGAUACUUGGU
rnacentral:misc_RNA from 1 species